rnacentral:snoRNA from 1 species
GAGUUAGUGAUGAUUAUAAAAAUAAUUUCUUGUUUUGAUUUACUUACUUUGAGCAUGACAAACCUCUUAUUACAUCCAUAGAACUUGAGCUAC